rnacentral:tRNA from 1 species
GGGUGCUAAGUAUGGAGAAAAGCACCCGCCUGCUAAGCGGGUAGGGGGUGUAAAGCUCCCUCGCAGGUUCAAAUCCUGUCCUCCCCGCCA